CUGGAUCAGCUGGGUGAUCAGUGCAGCAAGCCAACAGUAUUUGCACCCCUACUGCUAGAGGAGUUCAGCUUGGGAUUCCAUUAUUUUGAUUGAAAAAAGAGCUGUUAAUGGCUUGUGCUAAGAUAAUUAACAUUAGAGCACUUAAAAAGAAAGACAACUUUUUUUUGGAGGCCAAAGAACAAAAACCACCCUGAAAUCUACAGAAAACUUCUAAGGAGGUUGACAUGUGCAAUGAAAUAACUAGUCCCUUUAUAUCCAUAAGACUUGGGGAUCGCCUUAAUUCCAGGAAAGUGAAGUACCCUAUUGGCUCUGAGCCUGGCUUGCAAGUUGCUAUACAAAAUCAAAUUCUAAUGCUCUCAAGAAAAAAACCACAAGUGAGGCUUGUGCUACUUGUAUGCAGUGCUAAAUCAAUAGGGUUUUCAAUAUAAAAUGCACUACAUCUGCAUUUAUAACUUUCCUAGCAAGAUACAGGAAUAUUAGGAGAACUCUUUUUUUUAAUUUUGUUCAAGAUCAUUCAUCUUUCACACUUGGUGCUCAGUCUUCUGAUAUUCAUGUCCACAUAUACCAAGGAAUCUCUUGAUGGCUGUGAAUGUGAUCUAGCAGAUGGAGAUUUUCUUUGAAGAUGGAAAGAACAUAGAGGAAGCAUUGAGUUAUUUAAUGCAUUAUUUUAUUCUUGCAGUGGUAAAGGUACAUCUUCAAAGAUUUGGAGUUAGAUUUUCUUGUAACUAAGUUAUUACAUCUAAAGUUUAGGUAAGGAUGUUAUAUUUCCUGGGAUGUUAGAAAGAGGAGUGCUGUUUCAAAAACUAGAUGCUGUACGUAAGCGACCAUCAGUAUUACGUUGCUUGUCAAACAUUGCUGCAAAAGCAUGAAAAUAGGAAUAAAGGACAAAAUUUUUCUAUAUUCUAAAUAUUACACAGUCUACCCAUAUGACUAUUUGUACUUAAAGCAUUCUGGACUAAUAUACUUUUGAAUAUGUACGUAUGCAUAUAUGUGUAUGUAUACACACAUAUGCAUUUCUUUACAUUCCAGUUCUCAGAGUCAGGCUUCCAGAGUAACUUAGCUGUUUACAGGCACAACUGCUAUAAUGUUUAUGUAAAAUCUUGUCACUGUUGUAAUUUAUUGCUUUUUCCACCCAGCAGUCUCCUUUCUCUGAGGACAAAAACAUGCUGGAGGAGGGACUGAGUUUAUCUGUGGUUGCAAAGUGCCAGAGACAGAGUUAAAAAUAAACUGAUAAUAGGCAAGAACGAGGAGGUAUUGAGGCGCUGCUGUUACCUGGUGCCCUGUUCCUUGGAACACCCUUUGCAGCAGAAUGCUCUGCACAAUGAUGGCUAGCAGCGAAACACUGAUUGAUCACACAGAUACUCAGCAAUUGUGAACAGCCAAUUAACCCGUCAGGGUUCUUUUCCUUCUGGAAAUGAAGGCAGGACAGCAAGAGGAGCUUGACAACUGCCACAGCCAACCCAGGACCAUCCUUCUGCAGGGAGAGAAAUUGUGCAUAUCUGCAUCCAGGGUCUGCCAGGUGAUCACCACGCAGUUUGCUGUGCGGUGCAUGGGGCAGCCCUGCACCUCCUGCACCAUCACAGUGAUGCCUCUGGAGAAACCAGGGUAGCCCCCUGCUGAGGAGAGUGUACAAAACCCUGCCUUGCUGUCUUCUGUUCCUGUUCUUUCACAGGUGAGAAAUAAGGUCCUUGUGAAUUCAUAUCUGAACAGAUGUCUUCUCUAGAUCACAGAAGUGAGGCAGUGAGCUGCAAGUAGGACAGACUCAACAAAACAAACCCGUGAGGGCUUGCCAAACAUACUACCAGUAUGUCAGGUUGCAGAGCUAAGAGCUGAGACACUGGGAAAAUUGCACGUCUCCCCAGUUGUUGCUCCUGCUGCCCCACACAGAAUCUGCUCUUCAUGCGUUCCCUGCCACUGGCAUGUUUUCUCCAGAGAGACCCUGCUCCCUGCUUCCACAUGCCUGAUGCCCUUUGCCUGGAUCUCAGUAUCAUCUCAAACCUCACCAUAUCUUUCCCAGAGCUAGUUCCAAGUUUCUGAAGAGCAUUGAUAAAACAGAAGCAUGCUGACUUAAGGACUGGUGCCAACGCUGCAUCUGCCAUUGGCAGGAGAAGUAAAAGGCUGGGCAAGAAUGAACCUGGUGUUGCCUGAGGAGGAAGGUGGUCAAGGCUGUGGAUGGUGACUGCUGCAGAAAGGAGCCCCCAUUUCUCCUCAAACACUUCCUGCUUCUCAAGGAUUUUUUGCGAUCAGAGAAGUACUCUACUGAGGAGUCAGUGGGCAGAAUAUUGCUGCUCUUUCCCUUUAAGUAACUUUUAGUUUCACAUCUGCAAGAUCUACUGAAAUUAUUGUCUUCUGUUUCAGUGACAAGCUAAUGAGGUCUUUAGGGAAGAUUGUGAAGAACGUGUAGUCAUUACCUUCCUGAAAGAGGAAUUUGCAGUUGUUUCCUCUGUGCUUUACUCUCAAGGCAGAGGACAGAGAACCUGCCUGAAGCAGGGCAGCACUGAGGCUGAGAAGCUGCUGCUCAUCCUUUCCAGAGCUGGGCUUCUAGAAGAGUGAUUCACCUCAAAAUACCUCAUGGAAAUCUUUUGUUUAUAAGAUGCGUAGACAAAAGCCACAAACAGUUCUAACCUGUAGGAAAGUAAAGGUGUAUUUGAUAACAAGAACUUUUGCCACAUGCUCUUAAGGAUGCUUGCAUGGCGAAAGGGGACUAUUGCCCCCCACUCUCACUAUCCCUUUGGGGAUGGGGACUUGUUUUAUUGGUAAUUCAUGGCCACUGCUCUACAGACCUCAGCUUUAGCUUCCCCCUGGAGUUGCCAUUUCUAGGCUUUUCUCUUAGGAGAUCCUUUUUUUCUAGGUCUCUAAAUUUCUUUGACACAAAGCUGUACCUUUUUGCUUUAUUCCUGAACUAAGAUGCCAUCUGGAAAUGCUCUUAGUAUCGUGCAUGAUUAACUUGCAGUUAAACACACUAAUGUCAAUAUAAGAUUUUUGUAUGUAUAAAGUUGUCAGACUAAGAAACAUGAAAGUUACAGCUGCACAUACAAUAUUGCUGCUUUUGCUUGCUAGUGUUCUGUCAGUAUUUACCACCCUGUGGUCAGGAUGUCAGUGCUCACUGUAUCUCUCACUUUGUUUCUCUAUUAAAAUCCUUGUGUAGUUCUACAGCUUA